rnacentral:rRNA from 1 species
AUUGAACGCUGGCGGCAGGCUUAACACAUGCAAGUCGAGCGGAGCGAGGGUGCUUGCACCUUAGCUUAGCGGCGGACGGGUGAGUAAUGCUUAGGAAUCUGCCUAUUAGUGGGGGACAACAUUCCGAAAGGGAUGCUAAUACCGCAUACGCCCUACGGGGGAAAGCAGGGGAUCUUCGGACCUUGCGCUAAUAGAUGAGCCUAAGUCGGAUUAGCUAGUUGGUGGGGUAAAGGCCUACCAAGGCGACGAUCUGUAGCGGGUCUGAGAGGAUGAUCCGCCACACUGGGACUGAGACACGGCCCAGACUCCUACGGGAGGCAGCAGUGGGGAAUAUUGGACAAUGGGCGGAAGCCUGAUCCAGCCAUGCCGCGUGUGUGAAGAAGGCCUUUUGGUUGUAAAGCACUUUAAGCGAGGAGGAGGCUACUAGUAUUAAUACUACUGGAUAGUGGACGUUACUCGCAGAAUAAGCACCGGCUAACUCUGUGCCAGCAGCCGCCGUAAUAC